UGAUAUAAAAUAUUCUGAAUGUAGUGACAUUUUGUCGAACGAUAUUUAUUUUUUAUUUAUAUUAUAUUUCUGUUUCGAUUCAUCGCAUUCAAUGUAUACAAUAUUUCGUAUUAAUUAUGUCAAUUGAGAUUUACAAAUGACAGGAAAGGCGUAAAAACAUUAAUUAUCCUACAUUCUAAAUUUUAGGUUAAAACUCUACAAAAUUUUUGCCCAUUCGUUUAUUAAUGUCAAAAAAAAUAUUUUCGUAGGAAAUAUUCUCGAAUAUGAUAAUGUACAAUGGUGGUUGAUGUAUCAAAGAUAAAAUUUACUUAUGAGAUAUCUCUUUAUGCUGUUAAAUUGAUGAAAAAAUGUAUAAUACGUAUGGCUGAAAUUUAUAAGCAUUUUACUCAUCAUUAAGAAUGAAGAACGUCGAGGAAAAAGGUGGAAGUAAAGAAAAUCUAAGAGCGGUUUGUAAAAUUGCUAAGAAAAUCAAAUGUUCCAUAUACACAUAUAUGCUACUCCGUUUUCAGUGGUGUUACUUUUAAUAUCUUUAUCAGUAUGGCUAUGUAUAUGUCGGUGGGGAUUUCGAUAUAAUUUAAAAGAUCGAGAAAUUUUGUCCUGUUUAAUUUUGUACUUUAUUGUCAUCACUUUGUUGAAUAUGUUCUUUUUGGGCCACAUGCAAUUUUAUUGCGAUCAUCCACAUGGAAUCAAAAAUUAAA